AGUGAACGCUGGCGGUAGGCCUAACACAUGCAAGUCGAACGGCAGCACAGUAAGAGCUUGCUCUUACGGGUGGCGAGUGGCGGACGGGUGAGGAAUACAUCGGAAUCUACUUUUUCGUGGGGGAUAACGUAGGGAAACUUACGCUAAUACCGCAUACGACCUACGGGUGAAAGCAGGGGAUCUUCGGACCUUGCGCGAUUGAAUGAGCCGAUGUCGGAUUAGCUAGUUGGCGGGGUAAAGGCCCACCAAGGCGACGAUCCGUAGCUGGUCUGAGAGGAUGAUCAGACACACUGUAACUGAGACACGGUCCAGACUCCUACGGGAGGCAGCAGUGGGGAAUAUUGGACAAUGGGCGCAAGCCUGAUCCAGCCAUACCGCGUGGGUGAAGAAGGCCUUCGGGUUGUAAAGCCCUUUUGUUGGGAAAGAAAAGCAGCAGGUUAAUACCCCGCUGUUCUGACGGUACCCAAAGAAUAAGCACCGGCUAACUUCGUG
rnacentral:rRNA from 1 species